rnacentral:rRNA from 1 species
GACGAACGCUGGCGGCGUGCUUAACACAUGCAAGUCGAACGGAAAGGCCCUGCUUGCAGGGUAUUCGAGUGGCGAACGGGUGAGUAACACGUGGGUGAUCUGCCCUGCACUUCGGGAUAAGCCUGGGAAACUGGGUCUAAUACCGGAUAGGAGCCAUUUUUAGUGUGAUGGUUGGAAAGUUUUUUCGGUGUAGGAUGAGCUCGCGGCCUAUCAGCUUGUUGGUGGGGUAAUGGCCUACCAAGGCGGCGACGGGUAGCCGGCCUGAGAGGGUGGACGGCCACAUUGGGGCUGAGAUACGGCCCAGACUCCUACGGGAGGCAGCAGUGGGGAAUAUUGCACAAUGGGCGCAAGCCUGAUGCAGCGACGCCGCGUGGGGGAUGACUGCCUUCGGGUUGUAAACUCCUUUCGCUAGGGACGAAGCUUUUUGUGACGGUACCUAGAUAAGAAGCACCGGCUAACUACGUG